GCAUCAUUAAUAUUACAUAUCUAUCAUGACAGCAAAUUCCUUAAGUUAUUUAGCACAAAAAUCAAACAGAACACAUGGAUAUUGACUGAGUUCAUUUCUUUUGUCAGAACUGGGAACCAAAUUGUUCCCAAAAGGUUGUAAAACCAUUGAAUCCAAGAAUUCUGGAAAACGCCAUUAGUAUGAAGUCUGAAGUUAAGUGUUCUUCAAUCAUCUGUUGCAAAGGAUCUAUCAUACACAUAAAGCCUUUAAGGAAACUGGGUCAGGUCAAAGAGGUCCUAAGGAGUUGUAGCCCUCUUCCAAAAACAUCAGAAUAAAAAAAUCGGAGGGCUACAUUAUUGCAACUAGGCCCCAACCUACCCCUGGGGACCAUGAUUUGUGAUUGAAAUUGGUCUAGUGGUUCUGGAGAAGAAGAUGAAAAAGUGAAAAUGUGAACUUUUAGCUCAGGUGAGCUAAACACUAGACAGCUAUUCAUUAAAAAUUACAAAC